UUGGUGGGUUGGUCUUGAUUUUGUGGCUGUGAUUCUUGUGACACGGUUAGAUUUGAAGGGUGUGGAUUAUUAGAUGGAGUACAAUCAUUGAAGGUCCCUUGCGACUCGGUCGUUUUCUCAUAGAAUCAUCAUGUGAUGUGUCUACAUAAAGUUAUUUGACGAGAGAUAUAGACACAAAAAAUAUGUUCACAUACAGAUGUGAAUAGCGGAUCAAAUUCCAACAUACCAACGGGGAAGCUACUCAGUUUACUGGUAUACUUGCUUAUUGCAGGUUGGUAAGAGGGAAUGCUUUCCUAGCCAAGACUAUGAUCCGUUGUAUGUAAAUAUUUUUAAUUGUGUCUCAGUAAGUUCUUAGCAUUUUACUGCAUCGAUACUAGGUUGAUCGUGCUUCCUCAUUUAACUUACAAUUUGUUCGACUCUCAUUAUUGCGUGAAAUGUGAGUAUUACAAAAGUAGGAACAACAGCCAGAUGUAUGUAUGUAUGUAUGUAUGUAUGUAUGUAUGUAUAUAUACACACACACGAUUGAGCUCUACUCAUGUGAUACGUUUGAGGAAAUACUUAUGGUGAUCUUAGACAAAUCUCGGACAGGCUCAUAUUGGUCAGAUAUGCUCUUCCCAUAGGCGACUUUCUAGUAGAACAGCAGAUUCUUGGAUAAUUCAACGCUAAAACCAGUUAGCGCUACUCCUCUCCAUGAAUCUCAUGUUCAAAUAGCAGUUUUUUGCUCCAAGAAACUUGGCAUAGAGAUGAGAUUCCGAAGUUUGGGUCAUGACUACGGUGCCUUUAUGCUUCUAAAGCUCCCUUCAUCAUCAUUGAUCUCUUCAAUCUACAGUACAUCCAUAGUGACAUAGGAAAGGAGAGUGCAUACUUUGCACGGAUUGAGUUAGGUGCUACUCUCGGAGAGCGGUGUUAUAAAAUUGCACGAAAGAGUAAGGCGCUACUCGGGAAUAUAUGGAUUCCAGUACUUGCUCACUUGGGAUGAUGACCAAGAAACUGAGAACUUAUUAGAUGGAUGACAAAGGUGUAUGUGUAGAUGGCGCCGAAUGUUUCGAAGUCCCCAAGGGCUGCAUGUUUGAACUAUAGGGAUCUUGAGUUGGGGAAGAACAAUGCUUGUAAUACAAGCUAUGGACAAGCAAGCAUUUGGGGUUUGAAGUAUUUUAAGAGUAACUUAAGAGACUUGUUUAUGGGAAAGCCUUAGUUGAUCCUGAUAAUUUCUUUAGAAAUGAACAAAGUAUCCUUGCGUUCCAUCAGAGAAAGUAGAGUAUUAAGUAGAUUGGUUGGGCUUUUUGUUCAUCUUUCAAGCACGUUACUUUAGUCUAAAGUAGAAGCGGGAACGGCACCGUGCAAUUUUGCCUCAAUUUCAUUUUAUUUACCAAAGUGCUACUGAGUCUCUCUACCCCCUGAGUUAACGUUAUUUGCAAAAUUGCCACUGGGCUUCAGAUAGGGUUUUAGAUCUUUUUUCCGCUGGGCUUCAGAAAAGCUUUUGGGUCUUUGGGCUGGAUGUGGCCUUUCACUCGGGGAGACAAGUGAAGGGGAACGGGAGGGUUGACGUGUUGGAGGGAGAGGAUCGCUGGGAAUAUUGGCCCGGGGGCUGGUGGGUGUGGCCGUAGGUGAUGCAUCCGUCAGAGGGUCGUUGGGGGAGGAGAGGAGGGGGACAGAGGGACUGACAGGUUGGAGAGAGAUGGGAGUUAGGGGUUUCGACUGGGUGGGAGAGGGAUUUAGGAAUUUUGUUGAAUUUUUGAGAC